rnacentral:rRNA from 1 species
GAGAGUUUGAUCCUGGCUCAGAAUCAACGCUGGCGGCGUGCCUCGGACAUGCAAGUCGAACGCGAAAGCCCCCUUCGGGGGGCAAGUAGAGUGGCGCACGGGUGAGUAACACGUAGGUAAUCUACCUUUGGAUGGGGAAUAACAACCGGAAACGGUUGCUAAUACCGCAUAAUGCAGCGGCACCUAAUGGUGACACUUGUUAAAGCGGGGGAUCGCAAGACCUCGCGUCUGAAGAGGAGCCUGCGGCGGAUUAGCUAGUUGGUAAGGUAACGGCUUACCAAGGCUGUGAUCCGUAGCCGGACUGAGAGGGCGGUCGGCCACACUGACACUGACAUACGGGUCAGACUCCUACGGGAGGCAGCAGUCGGGAAUUUUGGGCAAUGGGCGAAAGCCUGACCCAGCAACGCCGCGUGAAGGAUGAAAUCCUUCGGGAUGUAAACUUCGCAAGAACAGGAAGCCUAAGUAAGAGUUAAUAUCUCUUAUGAUGACGGUACUGUUUGUAAGCUCCGGCUAACUCCGUGCCAGCAGCCGCGGUAAUACGGGGGGAGCAAGCGUUGUUCGGAUUUACUGGGCGUAAAGGGCGCGUAGGCGGCCACCGCAGUCGACUGUGAAAUCUCCGGGCUUAACCCGGAAAGGUCAGCCGAUACUGCGGGCUAGAGUGCAGAAGGGGCAACUGGAAUUCUCGGUGUAGCGGUGAAAUGCGUAGAUAUCGAGAGGAACACCUGCGGCGAAGGCGGGUUGCUGGGCUGACACUGACGCUGAUGCGCGAAAGCUAGGGGAGCGAACGGGAUUAGAUACCCCGGUAGU